rnacentral:lncRNA from 1 species
GAUUUUUCCCCCCUCUUACCCUUAGACAAAAUUGAUGCUUAGCAUCCCGCCACCUAGAGAUAACUAUUUCCUGGUUUCUGUCCAUUCAAAUUAUGUCUGUACGUUUUCUUUAUUAAACGGAAAUUGUUGGGGUGCCUGGGUAGCUCAGUGGUUGAGCUCUGACUCGGGGGUCUGACUCGGGGGUCCUGGGAUCCCCGCAGGGAGCCUGCUCCUCCCUCUGCCUAGGUCUCUGCCUCUCUCUCUCUUAUGAAUAAACAAAAUCUUUUUAAAAAAUCACUAACUGUAUAAAAAAAUAAACAGAAAUUGUUUUAUAAACUGCCCCACUUACUAUGUAGUGAACGUCUUCUGUGUAUCGUUAAGUAUUUUAUAAAAUGACUUUAAACGCGCGCAUUAAAUUCCGCUCAAAGGAUGUACCAGGAGUUGGAAUCGAUGGCGUCCUGUUGGCCACUUCGGUAGCUUCCAAUUUUUCAAUAUUGCAAAGAGCUGUGCCAAACAUCUGUGUGGAUAAAUAUUUGCCUACAUCCCGGAUUGUUUUUCAUUCGAAUCGAUUUCUAGACGCAAACUAAUGGCACCAAACAGGGAAGGAAUGGAAAGAUUUAGAAGGGCCCAGGUGUGCUGACAGCACAGCGACCGCGCCACGGCGGAGACCCGGACAGAGGCUGAGACCUCCACGGUGGCUACCGUUAUUACUUUCCUGAUUUAUCCUCUGGCUUUCUCCCAGACCCCCCUCACCCCCCAAUUAUUAUUCAGAGCUUUCUCGGAGAAAGCCGGGCCCGGAUUUCCCCGGGACAGCCAGUGGUUUCCCAGGUAGGGACGACCGAGCCAGCCCAGAGGCUCAGCUUCGGGAGUCGGGGUGGAAGGGCUGGAGGGAACAGGCGCACACGGGGUCCAGAUCCAGCUUGAGGGUGGAAGCCUCCCCUCCAGGUGACCUCCAGGGCCCGGCCCCUCCGCAUCCCCCCCAUGCAUGGGCGUGUCAAGGGGGGGUCGUGACAAUGGCCUUGAUGACUGGUGGCCCUCCUCUGAGCCUCUGGCCGUGGGACCCCCGCAGUCUCCCCCUUCCUCCUCCUUCCUCUCCCUCCCAACACCUUCGGACCUCCUCCUCCCCUCCACCCCGGCUGCCGGGGCCCCGCACCCGGACUAAGAAGGAAGAGCUACAGUGA